rnacentral:rRNA from 1 species
CGGAGGGUGCAAGCGUUAUCCGGAUUCACUGGGUUUAAAGGGUGCGUAGGUGGGUUGGUAAGUCAGUGGUGAAAUCUCCAGGCUUAACUUGGAAACUGCCAUUGAUACUAUCAACCUUGAAUACCGUGGAGGUUAGCGGAAUAUGUCAUGUAGCGGUGAAAUGCUUAGAUAUGACAUAGAACACCAAUUGCGAAGGCAGCUGGCUACACGAAUAUUGACACUGAUGCACGAAAGCGUGGGGAUCAAACAGGAUUAGAUACCCUGGUAGUCCACGCCCUAAACGAUGGAUACUCGACAUACGCGAUAUACAGUGUGUGUCUGAGCGAAAGCAUUAAGUAUCCCACCUGGGAAGUACGAUCGCAAGAUUG